rnacentral:misc_RNA from 1 species
UUAACUAUUAUAUAGUACUCAGACAUCACUAAUAUUCAGAGUUUGGUCCUCUGGCGCGCACACCCGAGCCGGAGCCCAGGGUCGUAAGACGGCGUGCCAAAGCAACGAUAGUAUGUAGACACGGUGAGGUUAGGGCAUGCCCAGAGGGCACGCCUUGACCUUAGAUAAUGAUCCUUCCGCAGGUUCACCUACGGAAA